rnacentral:rRNA from 1 species
AGUCGAACGAUGAAGCCCAGCUUGCUGGGUGGAUUAGUGGCGAACGGGUGAGUAACACGUGAGUAACCUGCCCUUAACUCUGGGAUAAGCCUGGGAAACUGGGUCUAAUACCGGAUAGGAGCGUCCACCGCAUGGUGGGUGUUGGAAAGAUUUAUCGGUUUUGGAUGGACUCGCGGCCUAUCAGCUUGUUGGUGAGGUAAUGGCUCACCAAGGCGACGACGGGUAGCCGGCCUGAGAGGGUGACCGGCCACACUGGGACUGAGACACGGCCCAGACUCCUACGGGAGGCAGCAGUGGGGAAUAUUGCACAAUGGGCGCAAGCCUGAUGCAGCGACGCCGCGUGAGGGAUGACGGCCCUUCGGGUUGUAAACCUCUUUCAGUAGGGAAGAAGCGAAAAGUGACGGUACCUGCAGAAGAAGCACCGGCUAACUACGUGCCAGCAGCCGCGGUAAUACGUAGGGUGCGAGCGUUAUCCGGAAUUAUUGGGCGUAAAGAGCUCGUAGGCGGUUUGUCGCGUCUGUCGUGAAAGUCCGGGGCUUAACCCCGGAUCUGCGGUGGGUACGGGCAGACUAGAGUGCAGUAGGGGAGACUGGAAUUCCUGGUGUAGCGGUGGAAUGCGCAGAUAUCAGGAGGAACACCGAUGGCGAAGGCAGGUCUCUGGGCUGUAACUGACGCUGAGGAGCGAAAGCAUGGGGAGCGAACAGGAUUAGAUACCCUGGUAGUCCAUGCCGUAAACGUUGGGCACUAGGUGUGGGGACCAUUCCACGGUUUCCGCGCCGCAGCUAACGCAUUAAGUGCCCCGCCUGGGGAGUACGGCCGCAAGGCUAAAACUCAAAGGAAUUGACGGGGGCCCGCACAAGCGGCGGAGCAUGCGGAUUAAUUCGAUGCAACGCGAAGAACCUUACCAAGGCUUGACAUGUUCUCGAUCGCCGUAGAGAUACGGGUUUCCCCUUUGGGGCGGGUUCACAGGUGGUGCAUGGUUGUCGUCAGCUCGUGUCGUGAGAUGUUGGGUUAAGUCCCGCAACGAGCGCAACCCUCGUUCCAUGUUGCCAGCACGUCGUGGUGGGGACUCAUGGGAGACUGCCGGGGUCAACUCGGAGGAAGGUGAGGACGACGUCAAAUCAUCAUGCCCCUUAUGUCUUGGGCUUCACGCAUGCUACAAUGGCCGGUACAAUGGGUUGCGAUACUGUGAGGUGGAGCUAAUCCCAAAAAGCCGGUCUCAGUUCGGAUUGGGGUCUGCAACUCGACCCCAUGAAGUCGGAGUCGCUAGUAAUCGCAGAUCAGCAACGCUGCGGUGAAUACGUUCCCGGGCCUUGUACACACCGCCCGUCAAGUCACGAAAGUUGGUAACACCCGAAGCCGGUGGCCUAACCCUUGUGG